GGGGGGGGGGGGGGGGGGGGGGGGGGGGUGGGGGGGGGGGGGGGGGGGGGGGGGGGUGGCGCUGGGGGUGGCGAGUGGCGGGGGGGGGGGGAAUAGAUCGGAAUCUGCCCAGGCGGGGGGGAUAACGUGGGGAAACUUACGCUAAUACCGCAUACGACCUUCGGGUGAAAGAGGGGGAUCGCAAGACCUCUCGCGAUUGGAUGAGCCGAUGUCGGAUUAGCUAGUUGGCGGGGUCAUGGCCCACCAAGGCGACGAUCCGUAGCUGGUCUGAGAGGAUGAUCAGCCACACUGGAACUGAGACACGGUCCAGACUCCUACGGGAGGCAGCAGUGGGGAAUAUUGGACAAUGGGCGCAAGCCUGAUCCAGCCAUACCGCGUGGGUGAAGAAGGCCUUCGGGUUGUAAAGCCCUUUUGUUGGGAAAGAAAUCUUUCAGGCUAAUACCCUGGGAGGAUGACGGUACCCAAAGAAUAAGCACCGGCUAACUUCGUG
rnacentral:rRNA from 1 species